AAGUCGAACGAGACUUUUUAUUUGAUGCUUGCAUCUUUUAAAAAGUUGAGCGUGUGAACGGGUGAGUAACACGUGGGUAACCUGCCUUAAAGUGGGGGAUAACACUUGGAAACAGGUGCUAAUACCGCAUAACCAUCAAAACCACCUGGUUUUGAUGUUAAAGAUGGUUCUGCUAUCGCUUUAAGAUGGACCCGCGGCGUAUUAGCUAGUUGGUGAGGUAACGGCUUACCAAGGCAAUGAUACGUAGCCGAACUGAGAGGUUGAUCGGCCACAUUGGGACUGAGACACGGCCCAAACUCCUACGGGAGGCAGCAGUAGGGAAUCUUCCACAAUGGACGAAAGUCUGAUGGAGCAACGCCGCGUGAGUGAAGAAGGUUUUCGGAUCGUAAAACUCUGUUGUCAGAGAAGAACGUGUGUGAGAGUAACUGUUCACGCAGUGACGGUAUCUGACCAGAAAGUCACGGCUAACUACGUGCCAGCAGCCGCGGUAAUACGUAGGUGGCAAGCGUUGUCCGGAUUUAUUGGGCGUAAAGGGAACGCAGGCGGUCUUUUAAGUCUGAUGUGAAAGCCUUCGGCUUAACCGAAGUCGGGCAUUGGAAACUGGGAGACUUGAGUGCAGAAGAGGAGAGUGGAACUCCAUGUGUAGCGGUGAAAUGCGUAGAUAUAUGGAAGAACACCAGUGGCGAAAGCGGCUCUCUGGUCUGUAACUGACGCUGAGGUUCGAAAGCGUGGGUAGCAAACAGGAUUAGAUACCCUGGUAGUCCACGCCGUANACGAUGAAUGCUAAGUGUUGGAGGGUU
rnacentral:rRNA from 1 species